rnacentral:lncRNA from 1 species
GUGGGGUGUGCUUUUAUCUAACUCAUAUAUUAAAAACAAACACAUGUUAACCAUAAAAGGUGGGGUGAUGGACCCGUUCGCCUUCUUGCAUUUCUAUUUCAGUGAGAAACAAAUUCAUUAAAAAAUAGAGUAAUUAUAGGUUUAUAAAUGGACAUGUAAUCCGUCAAUGAAACCACAAUAAAUUCUGCUUGGCCUUACACAGACGUACGCUAUCAAACUGUGCCUUUAAUUCAAUCAAAAGCU